UACAGAGGUCCCAAGCGUUGUUCGGAUUCAUUGGGCGUAAAGGGUGCGUAGGCGGUAUUGCAAGUCGGAUGUGAAAUCCCUCGGCUUAACCAAGGAAGUGCAUCCGAAACUGCCGUACUUGAGUACUUAAGAGGAUCGCGGAAUUCCCGGUGUAGAGGUGAAAUUCGUAGAUAUCGGGAGGAACACCAGUGGCGAAGGCGGCUUCCUGGCCUGUAACUGACGCUGAGACGCGAAAGCGUGGGGAGCGAACCGG
rnacentral:rRNA from 1 species